rnacentral:rRNA from 1 species
GCAUUUGCGACAGAUUUUUUCGGAAUGAAGUUGCUUAUGACUGAGUGGCGGACGGGUGAGUAACGCGUGGGUAACCUGCCUUGUACUGGGGGAUAGCAGCUGGAAACGGCUGGUAAUACCGCAUAAGCGCACAAUGUUGCAUGACAUGGUGUGAAAAACUCCGGUGGUAUAAGAUGGACCCGCGUCUGAUUAGCUAGUUGGUGAGAUAACAGCCCACCAAGGCGACGAUCAGUAGCCGACCUGAGAGGGUGACCGGCCACAUUGGGACUGAGACACGGCCCAGACUCCUACGGGAGGCAGCAGUGGGGAAUAUUGCACAAUGGAGGAAACUCUGAUGCAGCGACGCCGCGUGAGUGAAGAAGUAAUUCGUUAUGUAAAGCUCUAUCAGCAGGGAAGAUAGUGACGGUACCUGACUAAGAAGCUCCGGCUAAAUACGUGCCAGCAGCCGCGGUAAUACGUAUGGAGCAAGCGUUAUCCGGAUUUACUGGGUGUAAAGGGAGUGUAGGUGGCCAUGCAAGUCAGAAGUGAAAAUCCGGGGCUCAACCCCGGAACUGCUUUUGAAACUGUAAGGCUAGAGUGCAGGAGGGGUGAGUGGAAUUCCUAGUGUAGCGGUGAAAUGCGUAGAUAUUAGGAGGAACACCAGUGGCGAAGGCGGCUCACUGGACUGUAACUGACACUGAGGCUCGAAAGCGUGGGGAGCAAACAGGAUUAGAUACCCUGGUAG